UACGUAGGGGGCAAGCGUUGUCCGGAAUCAUUGGGCGUAAAGAGCGUGUAGGCGGCCAGAUAAGUCCGCUGUGAAAUCUCGAGGCUCAACUUCGAGCUGUCGGUGGAAACUAUCUGGCUAGAGUCCGGAAGAGGAGAAUGGAAUUCCUGGUGUAGCGGUGAAAUGCGCAGAUAUCAGGAAGAACACCCGUGGCGAAGGCGGUUCUCUGGGACGUGACUGACGCUGAGACGCGAAAGCGUGGGGAGCAAACAGG
rnacentral:rRNA from 1 species